UGGUAAUUAACUCCAGGACAGAGGGGAGGGAAUCAGAAUGCACUGUGGGUAAGAGAUGUGACUGUGUGUCAGAAAUGUCCUUCUAUCUGUCUGUAAUUUAAGUCUUCCAUCUGGUCCCCUAGGGGAGUGUCCACCAGGUGGGAGACCUGCAUAAAUACGGGCUGGUAGCCCACAGUAAGACCAGAUCUUAUUUGACCCUCAAUGCGGAGCUUCUGUCUCGUUAUUGGGGGGAUUGCUUCUUCACGUUUAGAGACUGCUGGAUGGAACGAAAGCCGCUUUGGGGAUAUUAUUGUUCGACGGUUCCUAGCAGUUCGUAUAUUUCCGUUCGGGAGUUUGGAGCCGUUCGUG